GAAAUGCGAUAAGUAAUGUGAAUUGCAGAAUUCAGUGAAUCAUCGAAUCUUUGAACGCACAUUGCGCCCGCCAGUAUUCUGGCGGGCAUGCCUGUUCGAGCGUCAUUUCAACCAUCAAGCCCCCGGCUGGUGUUGGGGACCUGCGGCUGCCCGCAGGCCCUGAAAAACAGUGGCGGGCUCGCUGUCACACCGAGCGUAGUAGCAUACAUUCUCGCUCAGGGCGUGCUGCGGGUUCCGGCCGUUAAACGACCUUCAUAACCCAAGGUUGACCUCGGAUCAGGUAGGAAGACCCGCUGAACUUAAGC
rnacentral:misc_RNA from 1 species